rnacentral:lncRNA from 1 species
GCGAGACUCCGUUUCAGAAAAACAAACAAACAAAAAGAAGAAAAAAAACUGCCUUCAGUGAGGAUUCCAUGUUAUUAUCAUUAAAAAUGAUAAUAACAUGUUUAAUCCUUGUAACAACCCAUUUUACAGAUGCAGAAACUGGUGUCAGAGCUAGAAUACCAAUGCAGUGCAGCCACAGAACCCACACUCAUAAUCUUUAAAGCCUCUUUUAGAGAAAAUCACUCCAUGGAUUAAAACUGCCUUGUUAAUGCAUAUAAAAGUGUGUGUAUGUGUGUGUGUGUGUGUGAUCUUAUUUAUCCCUCUUUGCCUUAGGUCUGGGGAACUGGAAGCUAUCAAAGCCAUUCUGACACCUCGUUGGAAUCUAUCACUUGAGGGAGGAACAGUAGCCAUAAGCUCAGUGAAAAGGAGUUUGUGAAUAAUUCCCCUGAAAAGUUUCUCUCUCAAUUUGAGCAGUCAUAGAUGCAUUGCUUCUUUUUGAACCUGUGUCUUAUUCUAAUUGAGUUAUAAAGAAACAACAAUGAACUGUGGAACUGAACAGUCCACUCUGUGACAAGUUCCUCUGUACAGGGAACAGAUUGACCCCAAACAUCUGACAUAACCUACGUAAGUGACAGUGUUGGCUUAGAAUAAAGAAACAAAGACUAUCAUGGCAUUUUUUUAAUAAAGCAAGUGUUACAGUGACCUGUUUUGGGGACUGCCAGAGAUUAGGUGGCAGUUGCCUUCUAGAUCUAGCCACAGGAGAAAAAAUUAAAGAGCCAUAUGACUGUGAGGCAGAUCCUCAUCAGGGAGGAGGCGCAGUGUCUUUUUAACCACUUUGAAGACCAACAGCCAAGACAUCUUGAGCUAGUUGUGGUGGACAGAGAGUUCCAAACACCUCAGCCACCAGGAAAAGGGAGUGGCCAGGAAGAGGCUGCAGGCUCAAGGGCUGGGAUUCUCCCACCCACCUAAGGAACCUACUGAGCAUCGAACCACUCCAACUUGCCUUGGGAGGAGGACUUGAAUGCUACCAAAGACUGCUCGACAGGCCUGCAAGGCAGGACUACUUUUGUGAGAAUUUGAAGACCAUGCCGACCUGUCAUUUAAAGCACCCAUCUCUGCCUGAGCUGUCAGAUUUGCCAAGUUCUGGGUUGUCUCAUAAUUAUUUACUCAGUACAAAAUAAUACCAGCCAUGAUCCUCAGUGGUAAGUAGCAGAAAUCAACUGUAUUUGUUUGCUAAGGCUGUGCUAAUAAAGUGCUGUAAACCAUGUG